rnacentral:rRNA from 1 species
AUUGAACGCUGGCGGCAUGCCUUACACAUGCAAGUCGAACGGCAGCACGGGGCAACCUGGUGGCGAGUGGCGAACGGGUGAGUAAUGCAUCGGAACGUGCCAUUGAGUGGGGGAUAACGUAGCGAAAGUUGCGCUAAUACCGCAUAUUCUGUGAGCAGGAAAGCAGGGGGACCGCAAGGCCUUGCGCUCUUUGAGCGGCCGAUGUCAGAUUAGCUAGUUGGUGAGGUAACGGCUUACCAAGGCGACGAUCUGUAGCGGGUCUGAGAGGAUGAUCCGCCACACUGGAACUGAGACACGGUCCAGACUCCUACGGGAGGCAGCAGUGGGGAAUUUUGGACAAUGGGCGCAAGCCUGAUCCAGCCAUGCCGCGUGAGUGAAGAAGGCCUGG